UAGAGCUGAAAGAACAAGAGCAGUUAAAUUCUGCAUGUUGCAGUACUUUUGAUUGGCUGUAAUAAAACUUAAAUCUCAAUCUUUAAACCUACUGUUUGCUUUCUCACAGAGAAGUAACGAGUAGGAAAAUUUAAGGGAACCCAGGCUGUUAAUACUUUCAACAGUGUAUAUAUCCAAUACUAUUAAAAUACUAUUAUGCAUAUUACAGUGCUAUUAAAUUAUUAUAUAUAAACAAGAAAGAAAUGUUUAUUAUAAAAGAAUAUGGCAAAUAGGCAAAGUUCCUGUAUGACUAGGCCCUCAUUGUCACACUGUGAUGUCAUGUGGUUGCAUUGAGAUCAGUCCUGUGGUAAAUAAGACAAUCAACAAGUUUGUCUCCUGAGUAAUAUCACGUUCUAGCUAAAGUGGGAAAGAUAUGAUAUAUUGGAGGUAAAUGAGAAUAUUAGCUUCCUGUUCCUCGCUUAGUGGACGAGAGAGAGCAUCCAUUUGAUGUGGAAAACAAUAAUGGCACACAGUUUCCAAGAGUAACACCAAAGAGAGUCAGCCACCAUCCCCGUUAGAACCUGUUCUAUCUACUUGUUCCUCAGCAAGUGAUCAGGGAGGACACAGUUUCCAAGAGUAACAUCAAAGAGAAUCAGCCACCAUCCCCGUCAGAACCUGUUCUAUCUACUUGUUCCUCAGCAAGUGAUCAGGUAAGCCUCUUUUGGUCAUUGACAGGUGUUCCUUAGAUGUGAAAACAGCCAACUUUGAUACAUGUUGCUUUACGAUAUAUAGAAUUAGAAAAUGAAAGGGCAAAAGUAUGUCGUGAGCAAGUUUGGAAGUUCCAGAACGUCAUAUUUUGUCAGUUAUGUUUAAUGUAUGUGAUGACUUCACGGAGUCCCCACAAUGCAGGCUUUGGUUAAAUAUGUGUAAAUGAGAGAGAUGUUGGGAAAAUACUGUUAGCUAGCCUAGUGUCCCCACAAGUCACAUGGUCACAAAAUGUGUUAAGCGUCCUCACAAAGAAUGUUUAGGCCUUAAUGUGUGUAAGCAGUGAGGAAACACUACAUUUGCAUAUCUCAGUGCAUGUUUGAGUUUUGCAAAGUUGUAACAUGUCUUCUGCUUUAUGUUUGGUCCAAUGUAAUAGAAGUGUUAUGUGUAUAUGAAGUCUGUCUUUGAAUUUCUUGGUUAAUUUCUCAAUGUACCAUAUUUGAACAAAUCAGGGAGGACACAGUUUCCAAGAGUAACAUCAAAGAGAAUCAGCCACCAUCCCCGUCAGAACCUGUUCUAUCUACUUGUUCCUCAGCAAGUGAUCAGGGAGGACACAGUUUCCAAGAGUAACAUCAAAGAGAAUCAGCCACCAUCCCCGUCAGAACCUGUUCUAUCUACUUGUUCCUCAGCAAGUGAUCAGAGGACUGGAAAGAACACAAUAUCAGAAAACAGUGCUCAAGAGAACUAUCAGCUGUUGCAAUCAGGACCUGUUCUGUUUGCUUGUUCCUUAGCAAGUGAUCAAAGGUCUAAGAAGGACACAAUUUCAGAGAGCAGUGCUCAAGAGGACUGUCUGCCAUUGCAGUCCAGACCUGCUCUGUCUGCAUGUUCCUCAGCAAGUGAUAAGAUGAGAAAUUCCAAUCCUGAGAAGAUUGCAUGGGUCACCCCUAUGUCUCGUCAGUCAGAGCCUCUGAAGGAUCACAGCAACAACAGCAGUUCUGGGCAGAGUUCUUCGUCUGGAAAUACUGAUGACGAGCAUGCGCGUGUACCUAAAUUAAGAAGGACUAGAAGUAUUCUAGUAAAACACAUGCACAGAAAA